AGCAGCCGCGGUAAUUCCAGCUCCAAUAGCGUAUAUUAAAGUUGUUGCAGUUAAAAAGCUCGUAGUUGAAUUUCGGGGUCAGUAGGUUGGUCAUGCCACUGGUAUGUACUGGUCUAACUGAUUCCUCCUUCCUGAUGAACUGUAAUGCCAUUAAUUUGGUGUUGCAGGGAAUCUGGACUGUUACUUUGAAAAAUUAGAGUGUUUAAAGCAGGCUAACGCCUGAAUACAUUAGCAUGGAAUAAUGAAAUAGGACGUUCGAUCCUAUUUUGUUGGUUUCUAGGAUUGACGUAAUGAUUAAUAGGGAUAGUUGGGGGCAUUAGUAUUCAAUUGUCAGAGGUGAAAUUCUUGGAUUUAUUGAAGACUAACUACUGCGAAAGCAUUUGCCAAGGAUGUUUUCAUUAAUCAAGAACGAAAGUUAGGGGAUCGAAGACGAUCAGAUACCGUCGUAGU
rnacentral:rRNA from 1 species